rnacentral:Y_RNA from 1 species
GGCUGGUCCAAGUGCAGUGGUGUUUAUAACUAAUUGAUCCACCUUUUACAGAUUUCUUUGUUCCUUCUCCACUCCCAUGGCUCCAUUUUAAUAGCCUUUA